rnacentral:rRNA from 1 species
CCUACGGGGGCUGCAGUGGGGGAUAUUGCACAAUGGGGGGAACCCUGAUGCAGCGACGCCGCGUGGGUGAAGAAGCGCCUCGGCGCGUAAAGCCCUGUCAGCAGGGAAGAGAAUGACGGUACCUGAGUAAGAAGCCCCGGCUAACUACGUGCCAGCAGCCGCGGUAAUACGUAGGGGGCAAGCGUUAUCCGGAUUUACUGGGUGUAAAGGGAGCGUAGACGGCGAAGAAAGUCUGAAGUGAAAGCCCGCGGCUCAACCGCGGAACUGCUUUGGAAACUUUUUUGCUGGAGUACCGGAGAGGUAAGCGGAAUUCCUAGUGUAGCGGUGAAAUGCGUAGAUAUUAGGAGGAACACCAGUGGCGAAGGCGGCUUACUGGACGGUAACUGACGUUGAGGCUCGAAAGCGUGGGGAGCAAACAGGAUUAGAUACCCCUGUAGUC